rnacentral:ncRNA from 1 species
CCGGUUUUGGUUCCCCCGCGAGGGGGCCAAGAGGGAAUCGGGUGCGAAUCCCGAGCAGUCCCGCUGCUGUGAGUUCCAACAAGUUAGGACAUCUCCGCACACAGGGUCACUGUGGUACAUAACACGCCAUGGGAAGGCCGCGAAGAGGGUCCGGAACAAGCCAGAAGACCUGCCAGAGCCGAC